rnacentral:rRNA from 1 species
GCAACUAUACGGUGAAACUGCGAAUGGCUCAUUAAAUCAGUUAUCGUUUAUUUGAUAGUACCUUACUACAUGGAUAACCGUGGUAAUUCUAGAGCUAAUACAUGCUGAAAACCCCGACUUCCGAAGGGGUGUAUUUAUUAGAUAAAAAACCAAUGCCCUCUGGGGCUUCUUGGUGAAUCAUAAUAACUCAACGAAUCGCUUGGCCUUGCGCCGGCGAUGGUUCAUUCAAAUUUCUGCCCUAUCAACUUUCGAUGGUAGGAUAGUGGCCUACCAUGGUUUCAACGGGUAACGGGGAAUUAGGUUAGUCGUUACCAGACACGCGCGGACCACGGGCACAUUGCUAACGGUGAACUACAGGGUUCGACUCCGGAGAGGGAGCCUGAGAAACGGCUAGUAAGUCUAAACCAAGCAAUGUCAACUCGCGGAACGUAUGCUAACAGUUCAUUUAGCCACAUCCAAGGAAGGCAGCAGGCGCGCAAAUUACCCAAUCCCGACUCGGGGAGGUAGUAAGUCAAACCGUCCCACCGCAAACGCGGCGACACCACGCUAACGGCACUCGCAGGUGACAAUAAAUACUGAUACAGGGCUCUUUUGGGUCUUGUAAUUGGAAUGAGUACAAUUUAAAUCCCUUAACGAGGAACAAUUGGAGGGCAAGUCUGGUGCCAGCAGCCGCGGUAAUUCCAGCUCCAAUAGCGUAUAUUAAAGUUGUUGCAGUUAAAAAGCUCGUAGUUGAACCUUGGGCCUGGCUGGCCGGUCCGCCUCACCGCGUGUACUGGUCCGGCCGGGCCUUUCCUUCUGGGGAGCCGCAUGCCCUUCACUGGGCGUGUCGGGGAACCAGGACUUUUACUUUGAAAAAAUUAGAGUGUUCAAAGCAGGCCUUUGCUCGGAUACAUUAGCAUGGAAUAAUGGAAUAGGACGCGUGGUCCUAUUUUGUUGGUUUCUAGGACCGCCGUAAUGAUUAAUAGGGACAGUCGGGGGCAUCCGUAUUCAAUUGUCAGAGGUGAAAUUCUUGGAUUUAUUGAAGACGAACUACUGCGAAAGCAUUUGCCAAGGAUGUUUUCAUUAAUCAGUGAACGAAAGUUAGGGGAUCGAAGACGAUCAGAUACCGUCGUAGUCUUAACCAUAAACUAUGCCGACUAGGGAUCGGUGGGUGUUAUUGUUUUGACCCCAUCGGCACCUUACGAGAAAUCAAAGUUUUUGGGUC